UCACCUGUCCAUGGCCACAAUUUUGCAGCCUGAGAAUGGGAUUGCAGAAUUGGCGGGUGGGAUGGUUUGGCUAGGCCUGACAGCCUCUAUUUCCUUGUCAUCCCAAGGUGUACGGAGAAGGGAACCAGAAUUACCUAAAGCACCAACGGUAAUCGUUUUUCCCGUCUGGAGUAGUCCCCACCAUAACUUGCUUCCCAGAUCGGAAGGAGUUGACAAUGCAGUUCCAAUAGCUGUUCUCGAUGUUCAAGAUGGUGAUGGCUCUCUAGGGCGAUGAGCAUGUUGAGGAGGAGGAUGUACGUGACUAUGACGUAAGUCACCAGCAGGAUGAUGAAGACCGACCUGAAGCGUUGGGAACUAAAGGUAGUGAAACUAACGGCAACAUUAGGAAAUACAGCUUUGCAAAAGAAGCUUGAUUUGGUCUGCCAAGGUUUGAGAGAUAACAAAUGCAAGCUGAAUUCAGAACACAAAUGGCUCUCCUGACCCGGCUAGAAACCCUCCCAGCCCAUGGGGGUCUUCUGUCUGCCUCUCCUCCUGGCUCGGCCAGCCCCCAUCCAACUCAAGACCUAGGACCCUUCCAAAGACGGUGCCUACCAAAAUAAAACCCGGGCCUGCCACUGAUUUUCUGGAAGAACUCCCCAUG